rnacentral:rRNA from 1 species
UACGUAGGGUGCAGGCGUUAAUCGGAAUUACUGGGCGUAAAGCGUGCGCAGGCGGUUUCUUAAGUCAGAUGUGAAAGCCCCGGGCUUAACCUGGGAACUGCGUUUGAAACUGGGAGACUUGAGUGUGGCAGAGGGGGGUGGAAUUCCACGUGUAGCAGUGAAAUGCGUAGAGAUGUGGAGGAACACCGAUGGCGAAGGCAGCCCCCUGGGCCAACACUGACGCUCAGGCACGAAAGCGUGGGGAGCAAACAGG